AGAUUAGACUUUUCGCUUUCGGGCGACAAUGGAUACAGGUGGUGCAUGGUUGUCGUCAGCUCGUGCCGUGAGGUGUUGGGUUAAGUCCCGCAACGAGCGCAACCCUCGCCUCUAGUUGCCAGCAUUCGGUUGGGCACUCUAGAGGGACUGCCGGCGACAAGUCGGAGAAGUGGGGAUGACGUCAAAUCAUCAUGCCCCUUAUGACCUGGGCUACACACGUGCUACAAUGGGCGGUACAAAGGGCUGCGAACCCGCGAGGGGGAGCGAAUCCCAAAAAGCCGCUCUCAGUUCGGAUUGCAGGCUGCAACUCGCCUGCAUGAAGCCGGAAUCGCUAGUAAUCGCGGAUCAGCACGCCGCGGUGAAUACGUUCCCGGGCCUU
rnacentral:rRNA from 1 species